CUUGACGAACGCUGGCGGCGUGCCUAAUACAUGCAAGUAGAACGCUGAAGAGAGGAGCUUGCUCUUCUUGGAUGAGUUGCGAACGGGUGAGUAACGCGUAGGUAACCUGCCCUGUAGCGGGGGAUAACUAUUGGAAACGAUAGCUAAUACCGCAUAACAAUGGAUGACACAUGUCAUUUAUUUGAAAGGGGCAAAUGCUCCACUACAAGAUGGACCUGCGUUGUAUUAGCUAGUAGGUGAGGUAACGGCUCACCUAGGCGACGAUACAUAGCCGACCUGAGAGGGUGAUCGGCCACACUGGGACUGAGACACGGCCCAGACUCCUACGGGAGGCAGCAGUAGGGAAUCUUCGGCAAUGGGGGCAACCCUGACCGAGCAACGCCGCGUGAGUGAAGAAGGUUUUCGGAUCGUAAAGCUCUGUUGUAAGUCAAGAACGAGUGUGAGAGUGGAAAGUUCACACUGUGACGGUAGCUUACCAGAAAGGGACGGCUAACUACGUGCCAGCAGCCGCGGUAAUACGUAGGUCCCGAGCGUUGUCCGGAUUUAUUGGGCGUAAAGCGAGCGCAGGCGGUUUGAUAAGUCUGAAGUUAAAGGCUGUGGCUCAACCAUAGUUCGCUUUGGAAACUGUCAAACUUGAGUGCAGAAGGGGAGAGUGGAAUUCCAUGUGUAGCGGUGAAAUGCGUAGAUAUAUGGAGGAACACCGGUGGCGAAAGCGGCUCUCUGGUCUGUAACUGACGCUGAGGCUCGAAAGCGUGGGGAGCGAACAGGAUUAGAUACCCUGGUAGUCCACGCCGUAAACGAUGAGUGCUAGGUGUUGGAUCCUUUCCGGGAUUCAGUGCCGCAGCUAACGCAUUAAGCACUCCGCCUGGGGAGUACGACCGCAAGGUUGAAACUCAAAGGAAUUGACGGGGGCCCGCACAAGCGGUGGAGCAUGUGGUUUAAUUCGAAGCAACGCGAAGAACCUUACCAGGUCUUGACAUCCCGAUGCUAUUUCUAGAGAUAGAAAGUUACUUCGGUACAUCGGUGACAGGUGGUGCAUGGUUGUCGUCAGCUCGUGUCGUGAGAUGUUGGGUUAAGUCCCGCAACGAGCGCAACCCCUAUUGUUAGUUGCCAUCAUUCAGUUGGGCACUCUAGCGAGACUGCCGGUAAUAAACCGGAGGAAGGUGGGGAUGACGUCAAAUCAUCAUGCCCCUUAUGACCUGGGCUACACACGUGCUACAAUGGUUGGUACAACGAGUUGCGAGUCGGUGACGGCAAGCUAAUCUCUUAAAGCCAAUCUCAGUUCGGAUUGUAGGCUGCAACUCGCCUACAUGAAGUCGGAAUCGCUAGUAAUCGCGGAUCAGCACGCCGCGGUGAAUACGUUCCCGGGCCUUGUACACACCGCCCGUCACACCACGAGAGUUUGUAACACCCGAAGUCGGUGAGGUAACCUUUUGGAGCCAGCCGCCUAAGGUGGGAUAG
rnacentral:rRNA from 1 species